CCUUAAAAAGAAAAUUUCACCUCACGGCUGGAAGAAAGAUGCUUUGAGAAAUCAAAUUCAGAGCUACUUCUCGGCAGAUUUUGUAUUGGAAAAGGCUUCCAUCAACCUUCCCAAGUGUCUCUCUCAGAUGGUUAAUAUGGUAUUAAAUCGCCUCAGUGAAAUGCAUACAAUCUCAGAAAUUCUAAACAAACACAUCACUGAGGAGAUGUAAAUCAUCAAUUCAAAGAACUCCUUAUUUGCUGAACAAACCAAGGAUGUUAUUUGCUUAGCUUUAUACUGACAAGCACUUGUCAGACUGUUUUUUGAGAGGUAUUCCUGCAGCUCAGUUGCUCUGAUGACUUGCCAGUUGCACAGUCUCCUCAAUGUCCAAGCUCUGCACUGCAUCUCUACUUCAGAAUUAAUUUUGGGGCGGAAAAAGACAACUCUGUAGCAAACUCCUUUCUAGGAUAGCUUUCAGUCACAGCAGGAACAGCACUUACAGUUUGAUCUCAUACACCCUGGCUUUGCUGGAGAAGCUCCUGGCAUGUUAUGUGAAGAGCUGGUUUCCGGAGAGCAUUGCCCUCGCACCCUGGAAGCCAACAGGAGAGGAACUAUGAUGUUAUAAAAAACAGUGCAGUUUAAGCAAAAUAAUUGAACAUUUGAUAUCUUUCUUUCUCUGAACUGUGUUUAUAACAGAACAAUUGACUCCCAACCUUUUCCAUGGGAGAUGAGUGUAAGACUACCCCAGCUGCCUGAAACCUCCACUCCCAGCGCAGGGAAUUAGAUUAAAAAUAUCAGCAUUCUUUAAAAAAAAAAAAAAAAGACAAUGGAAAAAAACCCAAACCAAACCGAACAGGUGCAAAACUAGCGUUGGGAUGAUGUGAAGGGCACUUCUGUGAGAAGGCUCAUGUUGUGGGCUCAUGCUAGCACACCCUACAGUAAUGUAAACGGAAAAGUAACCUUUGCUUACAGCAGGAAGACUUCAGACUGCCAUUGGAUACCUCUGCAUUUCCCCAGGCACUACUCUCAGGGAGCAGGGGGCUGAAUUUUGUCAAAAUGACCUAUUUGUGAUGAAGAGCCAGAUGGCCUCAAAGCAGGUGUGAUUUAGUAAAACGUUGUGUGUUCCCUCCUCAACAGUCUUCGCAGGGUUUAGUUUGCUGUUUGCUUUCAAUCCUAAUGAGAAAAGCAGGAAUUGCACUGGUGGCUUUGGGGAGAGCCAAGGAUCUCUCUGGUGCCCCAUUUACCACUAAGCACUUGGGACCAUCAUCCUCAGCAACUGAGCCCUGCACCAUCCACAGCUCACAGCGCUUUCCCCAGCACCAGCAUCUUUGUAGGGGGCUCAUUCUCACAGGUGUUGCCUAGAAUUAGGUGGAAACAGGCAGCCUGAGCAGGGUGCCCUGUGCCGAAUUUAUAUGCAACAGAACUAACUCUCAUGGUCUAUGAAGUGCAAUCUGCCACUGAAGUAUGGAAAAACAUUCACUCCUCUGCAACUUCAAAGGCUGCGAUAAGGUCAGAGAUGUACGGAGCACAUGCUUUCUGUAGCCACGGACUACCGGGAGUGCUUCACCUCUCUCUGUAGACCUUCUGUCCCUGCUGGGUUGCCCCUCCACAUCACUGCCGAGGUGCAGGAUGCUUUGCUUAGGUGCGUGAACAUGACGGUUUUCUCCAUGUUGAGAUCCACAGCUUCUCUGUGCAAAAGUUGUGUUGCCAAUAGGUGGCAUACUUCUCCUGCCUCUGGGGACUGAAAAGGCUUGCUGCGUGUCUGAACUAGGUCUGAUCAAAUGCUGAUAGCUGUUCAGUUCAGCACACACACUAUCUUUCUCUGUUAGAGCUCUCUAUGCAGGAGGUAAUUAAUUAGUUCUCUGAUGUGUGACUUGGACACUUCCUGCUCUUCUGCGAACUUGACAGAGAGUGUGGAAUAAUGUCCUCAAAGUGCUGUAGGGAGUAACUAAAGUCCAUAUAGAAAUAUCCAGGUUAUAUAUCUCAUGGCACUUUUGUAAAUUAAACCUUUUGGCAUGAAGAACAGCACCCCACUUGCAAUAAAAUAAACAGUUUUUAAGAAACCCGUGUUAACCAAGGUCUCUGCUGGAACUUAGCCUUGAAUGUAUUGUUGUCUUCAGUAGAGCUGUACACAGAGCACACAGUUAAGCAUAUCUGUAAUUCCAGUCUUUGCACAUUCACUGAAACAAAGUCGUAAUUGCACAGACCUAUUGGCAGGAUAAAGAUUCCAAUUUUGACCUGAAGAGAAAACUGUGGUUUUAGUUGUUAGUUUCCACAGGGAAAAACAAAAACAAAAACCCAAACAGAUUGCUUAUUGUUUCAUUAUUCAGCAGUUUCUCAUCUUGUCUUUUCAGCAAUCUGUUUCUUUGGUCUGGAAUAAAUAAGCAGAGCGCUUUUCAGAAACAUACUAUUUUAUCUAACUUUGUUUCCAAUGCUGGGAGGUGAAUUUUAGCACUCACUUUGGCAUAGCCAGAAUUAAGCUAAUGCUGAGUAUAUUCCAAAACCCUGCUGAGGACCUGGUAACAUCACUGAGUUCUCAGGUAGCUACUUAGGCAACAGCAGUGCCCAACAGACAAUAUUCUCUGUUUUCUCCCAUGUAUGUCUGUCCUUGCACAACCGAUUUUCCUUCCAGAAGUCAAAGCAGACAGAUUGCCUAGUUGAUAACUAGAAAUGAAAUAAAAUGAGUUUCAUUUCCUUUGGGGAAAAAAAAAAAUUAAAAGCAAUACAUUACAUAGAAAUUCCAUUGGAAGCCUAUUCCAAAUUUCAGCUUCUCCACACAUUUUUAGUUCCACUGUUACUUUUUUGUUGAAUUUUAUGACCAGCUUGAUUAUGAAGUUUUCUCUUUGUGGGUGGUGAGAUAAAAUGACUUAAGUCCAUGUCAGUGGAAUUUCAGUUUGUUACCACAUGGUACAAUAACUUCGUGUUUUGUCCAAAGAACAGAAAAUUCAGUUCAAAGUUUCAUGAAUAAAUGCCCUGAAAGCUGAUAAAAACACAUCUUAUCAGUAAAACAGUGAAGGUUACUAGCCAGCAGCUUCCAAAUUUGUUAUUCUAAAACCAUGGCAACUACAGAUCUUUUUUAGAGUCUGUGUCUGUAGAUCUUAAAGAAGAAAAGGUCAUUCUUAAGCUUCCUUGAAAACAAUACCUUGCUUUUUGAGGCAAACGUAUUGACAAGCUGGUAUCUUUUUGUUCUCUUGAUUUUAUACUGAGUUCAAGUAGUCACAUUUUUAAUGGAGGCUCUUCUUCAGAACGUCUCCUAAUUCACAUCUAACUACUGCAUGAAAUCAGGUGCCCACCAAACUAGUUUGGUCUUGGAGGUCUGAUUCACCUUACAUGAGUCUAGAUUGACUCCGUGAGUUUGUCACUGUUAGACAAAAUGGGGCCUGCAGAAUCAAAAACUAUACUUAAUUUUGCGUUAAUGGGAAUAGCACUGAACAUUCUAAAUAUUCAUGCUGACUAGAAGCAAAAGCACCACUGAUAAUGAUGGAUCCUGUAUUUUCCACAUGCAGGAUUUUAACUGAAGCUCUGCUUCCUCGUGUGUAUCCACCUUCUAUUCAUACUGUUUUCCUUUUUUCACACAUUUUCUGACAGACAAUGAACAUGAGGGUUGGUCUUUUUAAUACACACUGAACCCUGUACAUUUUCCAGUAAUGUAAGGAAUGAUUAGCCAUCUUUUGGGAGACUUUAUCAAUCUUUUCAAGUUUCUAGAUUUUUGUUUCAAAGUUUCUAGUUUUUGUUUCAUAUAUUUGGCAGGUUAAAUUAAGUGCCUGCCCCUCCACUUCCUUUUGUGAGGUGCUGUAGGCAUCCAUGAGGUCUCACCCAGUGUCCUCUUCUCUGGGCUGAACAAACCAAGCGGGGCAUGCAGGAAGGCACGCCCUGGCCUUGUAGGAUUUCUAGCUAUGGAGCACCUAGCCAAUUGAACCAUGGACAUCAAUGUUCUGAAAUGAACAGCCACAUCAAAGUACGCAGGCUUCCUCGAAGGAAGCUGGGAACACCAAAGCUGUUACAGUGCUGACAACAAUGAGCAUACAGUGCCUGAUCCUGCAGCAGGACAUUGGAGAUUGUAGGACUCAAGUUUCUGUUAGACUCUCAACAUUCUCAGACUUGUGGUUCUUUCACCAGGAGCCGAGUCCUAGGCCUUAUCACUUGGCUCUCCACUCUGCCAAUAGGAUCUGUGAGAAAUUUGUUGCAACACAGAAUUUGCAAAGCUUCCAAGUUCCUUACCCAGUGAGCCAGGUAUCUGGCAGCUAAGGCUGGUGUGGAAAACACUUAUUAAGACAUAGGAAGCAGAUAUAACACAUAAAUCAGGCAAUUUGACCGUUUAUAAGCAAGGGCCGGGGGAUCACCUCAUUACCACCAGGGACACAAGGCAGGAUUCUUUUGGUUAAAGAAAGUCACUAGUCUCUUUGUAAUCGGAUUAGCUAAGGUGCCUUGAGAUACUCAAAGCUCAGCAAGAUGAAUCUUUGUUUGCAGCUUUCAUACUCACGGAGAGAAGUCAGAAAC
ensembl:lncRNA